rnacentral:lncRNA from 1 species
UUCCACCAUCAAAUCCGAUCGGGACUCCUGCCGCACACGUGCGCCGCUGCCCGCUCAAACCGAUCUGCUACUUCUCGAUUGCUUCCGACGCAAACAGAACUUCCAUCGCUUCCAUCAAUUUUUUCGUUCGCAGGUCCGACCACCAAUCGAUUCGACGAAUUCUGCUCCACCUCUAAAUCAACUUUCAUAGCCUCUUCCAACCUUCUUCAUGAUACCACUUGUUAGAAUAAAUCUGAGGCGAUCUGUCGAUCUACCGAGGACCAAGCAAUCACAGCACCAUGACGAGAUUUGUUAACGAGGUUCACCGAUAUGGCUACAUCCCCGGGGCCUGACUACGGACGCUCCUUCCCGUGACACCGUCACAAUACCGCACGCCGGCCGCCCGGGCGCCGGCACACGCCGUCGUCUCCCCCGUGUGCCUGUGCUAUUAUGUUGGCUUAGGUUACAUCGUGUGUCUACCCCCGCUAUAUAUGAUAGGCCUAGGAUACAAGUGUCCUAUCAGGACACAACUCCAUAUCCUGUCUAAACACAAUACUACUCAGAGUCCAACUGUAACCUACCGUGUACACAAUAUUCAACACAACUCUAACAGCCUGACCGCAUUGCAGCACCGUUGAUAUCUUGCAGCAGCGUCGGCGCGUUGACCUUCAAGCGGGCAUCGCCUCACUAGCUGGCCAUUGCAGCACCCAUGCAAACAGCCCAGGCUAUCGACAGCGCUGGUGACGAGCCCUUGUGGUAUCAUCACGGUUGUAACGACUCCGGCCAUCUUUGCAGCACCGGUGAAUCUCCAUCUUCUCCAGCGGGGAGCGAUGCCUCCGGAACACGAUAGUCCACUCGGGCUGCUACCUUGAGUCUGUCACCGGUGAAAAAAGAUGGCUAGCCGGACAUGAAUCAAGAAAAUAGUGUUGAUUUUAGGUGAGGAACAAGAGGUUGG